rnacentral:rRNA from 1 species
ACGGGAGGCAGCAGUGGGGAAUAUUGGGCAAUGGGCGAAAGCCUGACCCAGCAACGCCGCGUGAAGGAAGAAGGUCUUCGGGUUGUAAACUUCUUUUGUCAGGGGCGAAGGACGUGACGGUACCUGACGAAUAAGCAACGGCUAACUACGCGCCAGCAGCCGCGGUAAUACGUAGGUUGCAAGCGUUGUCCGGAUUUACUGGGUGUAAAGGGCGUGUAGGCGGAGCUGCAAGUCAGAUGUGAAAUCCCGGGGCUCAACCCCGGAACUGCAGUUGAAACUGUAGCCCUUGAGUGUCGGAGAGGCAAGCGGAAUUCCUAGUGUAGCGGUGAAAUGCGUAGAUAUUAGGAGGAACACCAGUGGCGAAGGCGGCUUGCUGGACGACAACUGACGCUGAGGCGCGAAAGCGUGGGGAGCAAACAGGAUUAGAUACCCUGGUA